GUGGGGAAUUUUGGACAAUGGGGGCAACCCUGAUCCAGCCAUGCCGCGUGCGGGAAGAAGGCCUUCGGGUUGUAAACCGCUUUUGUCAGGGAAGAAAUCCUUUGGGUUAAUACCUCGGAGGGAUGACGGUACCUGAAGAAUAAGCACCGGCUAACUACGUGCCAGCAGCCGCGGUAAUACGUAGGGUGCGAGCGUUAAUCGGAAUUACUGGGCGUAAAGCGUGCGCAGGCGGUUUUGUAAGAUCGAUGUGAAAUCCCCGGGCUCAACCUGGGAACUGCAGUGGUGACUGCAAGGCUGGAGUGCGGCAGAGGGGGAUGGAAUUCCGCGUGUAGCAGUGAAAUGCGUAGAUAUGCGGAGGAACACCGAUGGCGAAGGCAAUCCCCUGGGCCUGCACUGACGCUCAUGCACGAAAGCGUGGGGAGCAAACAGGAUUAGAUACCCGGGUAGUCC
rnacentral:rRNA from 1 species